UACGUAGGGUGCAAGCGUUAAUCGGAAUUACUGGGCGUAAAGCGUGCGCAGGCGGUUGUGCAAGACCGAUGUGAAAUCCCCCGGGCUUAACCUGGGAAUGGCAUUGGUGACUGCACGGCUAGAGUGUGUCAGAGGGGGGUAGGAAUUCCACGUGUAGCAGUGAAAUGCGUAGAGAUGUGGAGGAAUACCGAUGGCGAAGGCAGCCCCCUGGGAUAACACUGACGCUCAUGCACGAAAGCGUGGGGAGCAAACAGG
rnacentral:rRNA from 1 species